CUUGAACUAAAUAAGAGGUCCAGCCUGCCCAGUGAAAUUAUUCAACGGCCGCGGUAUCCUAACCGUGCGAAGGUAGCGUAAUCACUUGUUCUUUAAAUGAGGACUAGUAUGAAUGGCACCACGAGGGUUCUACUGUCUCCUUUUUAAAAUCAGUAAAACUAAUCUUCCCGUGAAGAAGCGGGAAUUUUUUUAUAAGACGAGAAGACCCUAUGGAGCUUUAAACAAAUGACAUUUGCUUAAUCUAAUAUUUUAUUUUCAAGAAAUAUAGCAUUAUGAUCCUUAGUUUUCGAUUGGGGUGAUCACGGAGAAAAAUUUAACCUCCACGCCGAAAGGGUUUAUUCCCUAAGCAAAAAGCUACAGCUUUAAGCACUAAAAAAUUAACGUAGUUUGACCCAAUAUUUUGAUCAACGAAC
rnacentral:rRNA from 1 species